GUGUUUUUUGGUAGCGUCUCCUCUUUUUAUUACUUUGUUAUGGGUACACCAUUAUUAGUCUUUUCCACGAAGAAGAGAUUUUGUCUCUUAAUUUCCCGUGUAUUUCGAAUUUCAAUGACUCAUUCAUCUUAUAGUUCUGAGGGCAAAAACGAAGACUUAAUCGUUUAUCAAUCGGCUGUAACACAACUCAAUUCUUUGCAAACUAACUUUGCUGAUUUAAGUGCCACUUGUAAAGAUUUUAAAA